rnacentral:rRNA from 1 species
CACGUAGGGUGCGAGCGUUGUCCGGAAUUAUUGGGCGUAAAGAGCUCGUAGGCGGUGUGUCGCGUCGACCGUGAAAACCUGCAGCUUAACUGUGGGCGUGCGGUCGAUACGGGCAUCACUGGAGUUCGGCAGGGGAGAGUGGAAUUCCUGGUGUAGCGGUGAAAUGCGCAGAUAUCAGGAAGAACACCCGUGGCGAAGGCGGCUCUCUGGGACGGUACUGACGCUGAGACGCGAAAGCGUGGGGAGCGAACAGG